CUGCUUGAGAAGUUGGAAAAACCAGGAGGACUAACAGGGGCGUGUAAAGCAAUCCGGAGCUACAAAAGGAGGGUUUCCUUUAAACCCCAUCCCUAGACAUGCAUAUGUAUCCAAGGGGUUAGGCUUGCAAGAUUUAGGAAGAAGUGAUUGUGAAGAUGGGAGGACCCCACACAGGCUAAGUCUAGUCCAUGGUAGCUAAGCCUAUUCUAUGUUGAGGAGGAUCAAGAGCAGCCACUUUGACUCGUUUCUCAGACCUGUGUGGAAGGACUGGAGGAGAUAGGUCCUCAAAGACUCCUGAGGGGCCUGCCAUCCACCCAAGAAGGUCAGAUG
rnacentral:lncRNA from 1 species